UCUUCGGCAAUGGGGGGAACCCUGACCGAGCAACGCCGCGUGAGUGAAGAAGGUUUUCGGAUCGUAAAGCUCUGUUGUAAGAGAAGAACGUUAGCGGGAGUGGAAAAUCCGCUAAGUGACGGUAACUUACCAGAAAGGGACGGCUAACUACGUGCCAGCAGCCGCGGUAAUACGUAGGUCCCGAGCGUUGUCCGGAUUUAUUGGGCGUAAAGCGAGAGCAGGCGGUUUGAUAAGUCAGAAGUAAAAGGCUGUGGCUUAACCAUAGUAUGCUUUUGAAACUGUCGAACUUGAGUGCAGAAGGGGGGAGUGGAAUUCCAUGUGUAGCGGUGAAAUGCGUAGAUAUAUGGAGGAACACCGGUGGCGAAAGCGGCUCUCUGGUCUGUAACUGACGCUGAGUCUCGAAAGCGUGGGGAGCGAACAGGAUUAGAUACCCUGGUAGUCCACGCCGUAAACGAUGAGUGCUAGGUGUUGGGUCCUUUCCGGGACUCAGUGCCGUAGCUAACGCAUUAAGCACUCCGCCUGGGGAGUACGACCGCAAGGUUGAAACUCAAAGGAAUUGACGGGGGCCCGCACAAGCGGUGGAGCAUGUGGUUUAAUUCGAAGCAACGCGAAGAACCUUACCAGGUCUUGACAUCCCAGUGACCGUCCUAGAGAUAGGAUUUUUCUUCGGAACACUGGUGACAGGUGGUGCAUGGUUGUCGUCAGCUCGUGUCGUGAGAUGUUGGGUUAAGUCCCGCAACGAGCGCAACCCCUAUUGUUAGUUGCCAUCAUUAAGUUGGGCACUCUAGCGAGACUGCCGGUAAUAAACCGGAGGAAGGUGGGGAUGACGUCAAAUCAUCAUGCCCCUUAUGACCUGGGCUACACACGUGCUACAAUGGCUGGUACAACGAGUCGCAAGUCGGUGACGACAAGCUAAUCUCUUAAAGCCAGUCUCAGUUCGGAUUGUAGGCUGCAACUCGCCUACAUGAAGUCGGAAUCGCUAGUAAUCGCGGAUCAGCACGCCGCGGUGAAUACGUUCCCGGGCCUUGUACACACCGCCCGUCACACCACGAGAGUUUGUAACACCCGAAGUCGGUGAGGUAACCGAAAGGAGCCAGCCGCCUAAGGUGGGAUAGAUGAUUGGGGUGAAGUCGUAACAAGGUAGCCGUAUCGGAAGGUGCGGCUGGAUCACCUCCUUUCUAAGGAA
rnacentral:rRNA from 1 species